ACUCCUACGGGAGGCAGCAGUGGGGAAUAUUGCACAAUGGGGAAACCCUGAUGCAGCCAUGCCGCGUGUGUGAAGAAGGCCUUCGGUUGUAAAGCACUUUCAGUUGUGAGGAAGGUGGUGUCGUUAAUAGCGGCAUCAUUUGACGUUAGCAACAGAAGAAGCACCGGCUAACUCCGUGCCAGCAGCCGCGGUAAUACGGAGGGUGCGAGCGUUAAUCGGAAUUACUGGGCGUAAAGCGCAUGCAGGUGGUUUGUUAAGUCAGAUGUGAAAGCCCGGGGGCUCAACCUCGGAAUUGCAUUUGAAACUGGCAGACUAGAGUACUGUAGAGGGGGUAGAAUUUCAGGUGUAGCGGUGAAAUGCGUAGAGAUCUGAAGGAAUACCGGUGGCGAAGGCGGCCCCCUGGACAGAUACUGACACUCAGAUGCGAAAGCGUGGGGAGCAAACAGGAUUAGAUACCCUGGUAGCACAGAG
rnacentral:rRNA from 1 species